GUACGGCGAGUGNNGAGGAAGAGCUCAAAGUUGGAACCUGUUUGGCCUAGCUAAACCGGAUUGUAGACUGUAGAAGUGUUUUCCAGGCAAGCCGAGUAAAUAAGUCCUUUGGAACAGGGCAUCAUAGAGGGUGAGAAUCCCGUCUUUGGCUUGAGCAUUUGCCUUUUGUGAUACGCUUUCAAAGAGUCAGGUUGUUUGGGAAUGCAGCCUAAAUUGGGUGGUAAAUCUCACCUAAAGCUAAAUAUUGGCGAGAAACCGAUAGCGAACAAGUACCGUGAGGGAAAGAUGAAAAGAACUUUGAAAAGAGAGUUAAACAGUAUGUGAAAUUGUUAAAAGGGAACCGUUUGGAGCCAGACUGGCUUGUCUGUAAUCAAUCUAGGCUUCGGCCUGGAUGCACUUGCAGGCUAUGCCUGCCAACGACAAUUUGACUUGAGGGAAAAAACUAAGGGAAAUGUGGCCCACUUGUGGGUGUUAUAGUCCCUUAGAAAAUACCUUGGGUUGGAUUGAGGAACGCAGCGAAUGCUUUUUGGCGAGUUUUCCAGGAAGGUUUUCUGAGGUACUACGGUAUCAAGGUUGAUCUUUUUGGUUAUACUUCUAUUCGCUUAGGUUGUUGGCUUAAUGACUCUAAAUGACCCGUCUUGA
rnacentral:rRNA from 1 species